CCUACGGGAGGCAGCAGUGGGGAAUAUUGGACAAUGGGCGAAAGCCUGAUCCAGCCAUGCCGCGUGUGUGAAGAAGGCCUUCGGGUUGUAAAGCACUUUCAGUGGGGAAGAAAGCCUUGGGGCUAAUACCCUCGAGGAAGGACAUCACCCACAGAAGAAGCACCGGCUAACUCCGUGCCAGCAGCCGCGGUAAUACGGAGGGUGCGAGCGUUAAUCGGAAUUACUGGGCGUAAAGCGCGCGUAGGCGGUCUGAUAAGCCGGUUGUGAAAGCCCCGGGCUCAACCUGGGAACGGCAUCCGGAACUGUCAGGCUAGAGUGCAGGAGAGGAAGGUAGAAUUCCCGGUGUAGUGGUGAAAUGCGUAGAGAUCGGGAGGAAUACCAGUGGCGAAGGCGGCCUUCUGGACUGACACUGACGCUGAGGUGCGAAAGCGUGGGUAGCAAACAGGAUUAGAUACCCGGGUAGUC
rnacentral:rRNA from 1 species